AGGGCGCAUGGCGGAUGCCUUGGCUCUCGGAGGCGAUGAAGGACGUGAUAAGCUGCGAUAAGCUUCGGGCAGGUGCAAAUAACCUUUGAUCCGAAGAUUUCCGAAUGGGACAACCCGUCAUUCUGAAGGAAUGACAUCUUGCAUAGCAAGAGGCUAACGCAGGGAACUGAAACAUCUUAGUACCUGUAGGAAAAGAAAAUAAUAAUGAUUCCCCUAGUAGUGGCGAGCGAACGGGGAUUAGCCCAAACCAAUGUUGUUACGGCAAUAUUGGGGUUGUAGGACCACGAUGUCGCAAGAAAUUUAGUGAGAAGAACCCUUUGGAAAAUGGGACCAUAGACGGUGAUAGUCCGGUAUUCGAAGCUAAAUGAAGCGUAGUGGUAUCCUGAGUAGCGCGGGACACGAGGAAUCUUGCGUGAAUCUGCCGGGACCAUCCGGUAAGGCUAAAUACUCCCGAGAGACCGAUAGCGAACCAGUACUGUGAAGGAAAGGUGAAAAGCACUUCGAAUAGAAGAGUGAAAUAGUCCCUGAAACCGUGCGCCUACAAGCGGUCGGAGCUGCUUCAGCAGUGACGGCGUGCCUUUUGCAUAAUGAACCUACGAGUUACUUUUUCCGGCAAGGUUAAGGAUCUUGAGAUCCGCAGCCGAAGCGAAAGCGAGUCUUAACAGGGCGAUUAGUCGGAAGGAGUAGACGCGAAACCAAGUGAUCUACCCUUGGUCAGGUUGAAGGUUAGGUAACACUAACUGGAGGACCGAACCGAUAAGCGUUGAAAAGCUUCCGGAUGAACUGAGGGUGGGGGUGAAAGGCUAAUCAAACUUGGAGAUAGCUCGUACUCCCCGAAAUGCAUUUAGGUGCAGCCUUGGGAAUUACUACUGUGAGGUAGAGCGACUGAUAAGAUGCGAGGGCUUCACCGCCUAUCAAGUCUUGAUAAACUCCGAAUGCGCAGUAGUUCGAUCCCAGGAGUGAGGGCAUGGGUGCUAAGGUCCAUGUCCUAAAGGAGAAGAAUCCGGACCAUCAGCUAAGGUCCCGAAAUAAUUGCUAAGUUGAACUAACGAAGUCAGAUUGCUAAGACAGCUAGGAUGUUGGCUUGGAAGCAGCCAUUCAUUUAAAGAGUGCGUAACAGCUCACUAGUCGAGGAGUUUGGCGUGGAUAAUAAUCGGGCAUUAAGCAAUUUACCGAAGCUAUGGGAUCCGUAAGGAUCGGUAGGGGAGCAUUCCACUCUGCGUCGAAGGUGAAGCGUGAGCUUUGCUGGAGCGUGUGGAAAAGCAAAUGUAGGUAUAAGUAACGAUAAAGGGGGUGAGAAACCCCCUCGCCGAAAGACUAAGGUUUCCUGAUCAACGCUAAUCGGAUCAGGGUUAGUCGGGUCCUAAGGCUCAGCCGAACGGUGAGGCCGAUGGCAGAACAGGUUAAUAUUCCUGUACUACCUUAAGGAGUGACGUGGAGACGGAGGAGUGACAGCGCCGCGGACUGACGGAAUAGUCCGUUGAAGGGUGUAGAUGUUGAUUAUCCCAGGCAAAUCCGGGAUAAGAGUCGAACCUGAUAGUAUACCAAAUUCUUCGGAAUAAGGUAAUAGUGCGUGUAAGCAUACUCCCAAGAAAAUCCGCUAAACUUAAUCUUUAAGGUACCCGUACCGCAAACGGACACACGUAGUCGGGUUGAAUAUACUAAGGCGCUUGAGUGAUUCACGGUUAAGGAACUAGGCAAAUUGACCCUGUAACUUCGGGAUAAAGGGUCCCAACGAGAGUUGGGCGCAGAGAAUAGGUCCAGGCAACUGUUUAACAAAAACACAGGGCUGUGCCAAAUUGAAAGAUUACGUAUACAGCCUGACACCUGCCCGGUGCUGGAAGGUUAAGAGGAGAUGUCAUCGCAAGAGAAGCAUUGAAUUGAAGCCCCAGUAAACGGCGGCCGUAACUAUAACGGUCCUAAGGUAGCGAAAUUCCUUGUCGGGUAAGUUCCGACCUGCACGAAUGGUGUAAUGAUCUGGACACUGUCUCAACCGUGAGCUCAGUGAAAUUGUAGUAUCGGUGAAGAUGCCGAUUACCCGCGAUGGGACGAAAAGACCCCGUGAACCUUUACUAUAGCUUAACAUUGAAUUUGGGUAAUUGAUGUGUAGGAUAGGCCGGAGACUUUGAAUCAGGUACGCCAGUAUUUGUGGAGUCGCUGUUGAAAUACGGCCCUUUGAUUAUUUGAGUUCUAACUCGUAGAUGCGAGGACACUGUUUGGUGGGUAGUUUGACUGGGGUGGUCGCCUCCAAAAGUGUAACGGAGGCUUCUAAAGGUGCCCUCAGGACGAUUGGUAACCGUCCGUAGAGUGUAAUGGCAUAAGGGCGCUUGACUGGGAGACAGACAAGUCGAUCAGGUAGGAAACUAGAGCAUAGUGAUCCGGUGUUUCCGCAUGGAAGGGACAUCGCUCAAAGGAUAAAAGGUACUCCGGGGAUAACAGGCUGAUCCCUCCCAAGAGCUCAUAUCGACGGAGGGGUUUGGCACCUCGAUGUCGGCUCGUCACAUCCUGGGGCUGGAGAAGGUCCCAAGGGUUGGGCUGUUCGCCCAUUAAAGUGGCACGCGAGCUGGGUUCAGAACGUCGUGAGACAGUUCGGUCUCUAUCUAUCGUGGGCGUAUGAAAUUUGCGUGGCUCUGACACUAGUAC
rnacentral:rRNA from 1 species